CGACCGUAUCACACAGAAACACCGGUUCCAGUACGAUCAUCGAAGUUAAGCAACGUCGAGCCUGACAGUACCUAGAUGGGUGAUCGUUUGUGAAUACGAGGUGCUGUAAG